rnacentral:lncRNA from 1 species
GUCAUUGCUGCUGCUAUUGCUCAAUAUGUUGCCUCUCAAGGAGGAAUGAGUGGAAGCAACUCUGGCAACACUGGCAACAAUAACAAUCCACCUCAUGGGUGCACCUACAAGCAGUUCUUGGACUGCAAGCCCGUAAACUUUGAUGGCACAGGAGGUGCCGUCGCUUUUGUCCGCUGGGCUGAGAAAACAGAAUCCGUUCUUCGCAUGAGCAAAUGCGCAUUGGAUCAGCAAGUCACUUAU